CAGAAAUAAACGUCCCAGUUCGGAUUGUAGUCUGCAACCCGACUACAUGAAGCUGGAAUCGCUAGUAAUCGCGAAUCAGAAUGUCGCGGUGAAUACGUUCCCGGGUCUUGUACACACCGCCCGUCACACCAUGGGAGUCGGAAAUGCCCGAAGUCAGUGACCCAACCGCAAGGAGGGAGCUGCCGAAGGUGGAGCCGGUAACUGGGGUGAAGUCGUAACAAGGUAUC
rnacentral:rRNA from 1 species